rnacentral:lncRNA from 1 species
GUGGGAACGGCCCACCGCAGGGUUGGCCACCUUGAGAAGCUGCGAAGAUGGCGGAGUAAGGCGUGCCGCUGUAAACUGGCCUCUGGGCCGGGGGCGAGCAGCCCCCGGGAGGCCGAGUGCAUCUGUUGGACCGUGCGAGGAGAAGAAAAAAAAGAUCGGCCAGAGGAGAGGAACUAACCGAACAUUCUUCCUCCCUACCUUAUAGAGGGGAGUGGUCAUCUACACUAAAGCAAAGUGUCAGGCGCGUCCGUGCCAAGAGACCACCAAACAGGCUUUGUGUUCCUUAUCACAGGAAGAAAAUUUUCCUUGACCUUUAGGUGCUUUUAUAUUCAUCUCAAAAACAAAAUUCUGAACUCAGGACUUGGCAAACCACCGCUGAAACUUCACUUCUACACAGAGGCUUUCUUUCCCAGAAACCCAGACCAG